UACGUAGGGGGCAAGCGUUGUCCGGAUUCAUUGGGCGUAAAGGGUGCGUAGGUGGCGCGGUAAGUCGGGUGUGAAAUCUCGGAGCUUAACUCCGAAAUUGCAUUCGAUACUGCCGUGCUCGAGGACUGGAGAGGAGACUGGAAUUCAUGGUGUAGCAGUGAAAUGCGUAGAGAUCAUGAGGAAGACCAGUGGCGAAGGCGGGUCUCUGGACAGUUCCUGACGCUGAGGCACGAAGGUCAGGGGAGCAAACGGG
rnacentral:rRNA from 1 species